CCUACGGGUGGCAGCAGUGAGGAAUAUUGGUCAAUGGCCGAGAGGCUGAACCAGCCAAGUCGCGUGAGGGAAGAAUGUCCUAUGGAUUGUAAACCUCUUUUGUCAGGGAGUAAAGUCUUCCACGUGUGGGUGUUUGAGAGUACCUGAAGAAAAAGCAUCGGCUAACUCCGUGCCAGCAGCCGCGGUAAUACGGAGGAUGCGAGCGUUAUCCGGAUUUAUUGGGUUUAAAGGGUGCGUAGGCGGGUUAUCAAGUCAGCGGUAAAGUCGUGGGGCUAAACGCCAUCGAGCCGUUGAAACUGAUGAUCUUGAGUGGGCGAGAGGUAUGCGGAAUGCGUGGUGUAGCGGUGAAAUGCAUAGAUAUCACGCAGAACUCCGAUUGCGAAGGCAGCAUACCGGCGCCCGACUGACGCUGAAGCACGAAAGCGUGGGUAUCGAACAGGAUUAGAUACCCGAGUAGUC
rnacentral:rRNA from 1 species